rnacentral:rRNA from 1 species
GUCUAUGGUCAUACCACCCUGAAUGUGCCUGAUCUCAUCUGAUCUCAGAAGCUAAACAGGGUCAGGCCUGGUUAGUACCUGGAAGGGAGAAAACCAACUGUCAGCA